rnacentral:rRNA from 1 species
UGGGGAAUAUUGGACACUGGGCGAAAGCCUGAUCCAGCCAUGCCGCGUGUGUGAAGAAGGUCUUCGGAUUGUAAAGCACUUUAAGUUGGGAGGAAGGGCAGUAAGCGAAUACCUUGCUGUUUUGACGUUACCGACAGAAUAAGCACCGGCUAACUCUGUGCCAGCAGCCGCGGUAAUACAGAGGGUGCAAGCGUUAAUCGGAAUUACUGGGCGUAAAGCGCGCGUAGGUGGUUCGUUAAGUUGAAUGUGAAAGCCCCGGGCUCAACCUGGGAACUGCAUCCGAAACUGGCGAGCUAGAGUAGGGCAGAGGGUGGUGGAAUUUCCUGUGUAGCGGUGAAAUGCGUAGAUAUAGGAAGGAACACCAGUGGCGAAGGCGACCACCUGGGCUCAUACUGACACUGAGGUGCGAAAGCGUGGGGAGCAAACAGG